GCGCAACCCUUCGUGUUUAGUUUGCAAACAGGUCAAGCUGUGCACUCUAGACAGACUGCCGUGGACAACACGGAGGAAGGUGGGGAUGACGUCAAAUCAUCAUGCCCCUUAUGAUCUGGGCUACACACGUGCUACAAUGGCCGGCACAACGGGAAGCGAGUUCGCGAGGACGAGCGGAUCCCUUAAAGCCGGUCGCAGUUCGGAUUGAAGUCUGCAACUCGACUUCAUGAAGCUGGAAUCGCUAGUAAUCGUGGAUCAGCCAAGCCGCGGUGAAUACGUUCCCGGGCCUU
rnacentral:rRNA from 1 species